AACCACAAGUGAAUCAUCUGUAAUCUGAAGUUGUCGUUUGACUCUUCCUUGCAAUAUCUCUUAGCUCAGAGUCAAUCUCUUAGCUCAAACUCAGACUCAAGAAGCUAAAGAACCAGCUCCUCUGACCAUCCUCACCCAUGUGUUUAGCUCCAAGUGGUUAUGCUUCUCUUUACUCUUCACUUUCUUUAAUUGACUAGAGCCACUGUUCAAGCUUCCGAUCAAACUCUUUAGAAUUCUCUCAAACCAAGCAUUUUUUUUCCAUUUUUUUGAGUCCUCAAGCUGUUAUUGCUGUAACCUUUUAGUUAAACUUUCUGUUUUGGUGAUUAAUUGCAUCAUAAAGUGAGGCACAGAUAUCAAAAACUGAGAGUGAUGAUGAAAAAAAGGAAAAAGAGUAUGAUGAGAAUGAGGUAGGGAUUGAGCAAUCUUAUGGACUUAAGUUCACCAAGGGAGGAGAUGGUGGCACUAACGUUGAUGCUAUUGCUCCUGGUGGCUCUGCUAACAAGACUGGAAAAAUAAUCGUUGGAGAUAAAAUUCUCGCCACCAGGGUUUUGGGUUCUUACAAUCGUUUUACGUUGUGCGGUGAUUUCUACUAAUCCUGCGGUUCUUAAAGCUGCGGCAAAGCCUCUGGCUACGUAUGGGGCGGUGGUUUCAGCUAACGGACCUGUUGUUGAAGCUGUAGCAAAGCCUGUGUCUUUGGAUGGGGAGCUGAUUUCUGCUAAUACUCCUGUUGCUGAAGCUGCAGUAAAGCCUGUGGAUGGAAUCAAGUACUCAUCUCGUGUUUUUAUCCCUCAAGAUCAUGAGCCGACGAGGUCUCCUUCUAAAAAUUCCUGCACCCAUAUACCCGUUGGCAAUCCGGUCAACUGUAAACCACCCAUCAGAAAACCCUAGCCCUGAUUUUUGAUCCGAUGCUUUUCUUGCUAGAUUUAAAGGUGUUGUUCUAGAGGAUAAUCUAUUUUUGUUGAAAUUGAGCCUACUGUUGUCAACUUUAUAUAUUUCUUGGUUGAUUUAAACUUUAUGUAUUGUCACCGAAUCUAUCAAUAAUUUUGCUACAGCCAAAGCUAAACUCACCAUAUUUGAACUUAUUCUUGGUUGAUAUAAACUAUUUAUAUUUUGGUUGGAUCUUAA